GAUGAAGAACGUAGCGAAAUGCGAUAAGUAUGUGAAUUGCAGAAUUCAGUGAAUCAUCGAAUCUUUGAACGCACAUUGCGCCCGCCAGUAUUCUGGCGGGCAUGCCUGUCUGAGCGUCAUUUCAACCCUCAUGCCCCUAGGGCGUGGUGUUGGGGAUCGGCCAAAGCCCGCGAGGGACGGCCGGCCCCUAAAUCUAGUGGCGGACCCGUCGUGGCCUCCUCUGCGAAGUAGUGAUAUUCCGCAUCGGAGAGCGAUGAGCCCCUGCCGUUAAACCCCCAACUUUCCAAGGUUGACCUCAGAUCAGGUAGGAAUACCCGCUGAACUUAAGCAUAUCAAUAAGCGGAGGA
rnacentral:misc_RNA from 1 species